GACGAACGCUGGCGGCGUGCUUAACACAUGCAAGUCGAACGGAAAGGCCCUGCUUUUGUGGGUUGCUCGAGUGGCGCACGGGUGAGUAACACGUGAGUAUCCUGCCCUUGACUUUGUGAUAACUUCAGGGAACUGGGGCUCAUACCGGAUAGGAGCUCUUGCUGCAUGGUGUGGGUUGGAAAGUUACGGCGGUUGGGGAUGGACUCGCGGCUUAUCAGCUUGUUGGUGGGGUAGUUGCUUACCAAGCCUAUGACGGGUAGCCGGCCUGAGAGGGUUAACGGGCACAUUGGGACUGAGAGAGGGACCAGACUCCUACGGGAGGCAGCAGUGGGGAACAUUGCACAAUGGGCGGAAGCCAGAGGCAGCAACGUCGCGUGCGGGAUGCCGGCCUUCGGGUUGUAAACCGAUUUCGCAGGUGACGAAGCGUGAGUGACGGUAAUGGGUAAAGAAGCACCGGCUAACUACGUG
rnacentral:rRNA from 1 species